rnacentral:lncRNA from 1 species
CGGCUCCUCAUGGCCGAGCUGGGCUUGGAGAUCCCCGCCUAUAGCAGGUGGCAGGAUCCCAUUUUCUCACUGGCGACUCCCCUGCGUGCUGGUGAAGAAGGCAGCCACAGUCGGAAGUCGCUGUGCAGAAGCAGAGAGGAGGCCCCGCCUGGGGACCGGGGUGCACCGCUUAGCUCGGCCCCCAUCCUAGGGGGCUGGUUUGGCAGGGGCUGCACAAAACGCACAAAAAGGAAGAAAGUGACGUAAUCACGUGCUCGAUGAAGAACAGUUGGCACUUUGCAGAUGGCCAGUGUCACGGUGAAGGCUGGGUUGCCCCCACGGGUCUAGGGAGAACGAACUCUUUGGGGAUGACAUUUUCACCGUGACAUUUUUAGCCAUUUGUCCUUGAGGAAGCCCCUUGCACUGCUGCGGUUGUACCCUGAUACGGCCUGGCCAUCGAGGACACCUGCCCAUCCGGCCUCUGUGUCAAGAGGUGGCAGCCGCACCUUUCUGUGAGAACGGAACUCGGGUUAUUUCAGCCCCGGCCUGCAGAGUGGAAGCGCCCAGCGGCCUUUCCUCGCUCACCAGGCCAGUCUCAGGGCCUCACCGUAUUUCUACUACUACUUAAUGAAAAAGUGUGAACUUUAUAGAAUCCUCUCUGUACUGGAUGUGCGGCAGAGGGGUGGCUCCGAGCCUCGGCUCUAUGCAGACCUUUUUAUUUCUAUUAAACGUUUCUGCACUG